rnacentral:rRNA from 1 species
UGUGCAAAGGUAGCAUAAUCACUUGUCUUUUAAUUGAGGACUAGAAUGAAAGGUUUAACUAUGUAAUUUUGUCUUAUAAUAAUAUUUUGAAUUUAAUUUUUUAGUAAAAAAGCUAAAAUAUACCUUAAAGACGAGAAGACCCUAUUAAGCUUUACAAUCUUAUAUUGUUUUCAAAUCAAUAAAAAAAUUGUUUUACUGGGGCAGUAAAUAAAAAAAUAUUAUUUCUAUAUUGUGAUAGAUAAAUCUAGAAAAAUCAAUGACUUAUUAAAAAAUAAUAAGUUACUAUAGGGAUAACAGCAUAAUUUUUUUAAAGAGUUCUUAUCAACAAAAAAGUUUGUGACCUCGAUGUUGGAUUAAGAAUCCUAUUUCACGCAGUAGUGAANAAAGNAAGACNGNNGGGGGCUUAAAAGGGGGCAAC